rnacentral:rRNA from 1 species
UACGUAGGGUGCGAGCGUUGUCCGGAAUUAUUGGGCGUAAAGAGCUCGUAGGCGGUUUGUCGCGUCUGCUGUGAAAACUCAGGGCUUAACCCUGAGCCUGCAGUGGGUACGGGCAGACUAGAGUGUGGUAGGGGAGAUCGGAAUUCCUGGUGUAGCGGUGGAAUGCGCAGAUAGUCAGGAGGAACACCGGUGGCGAAGGCGGGUCUCUGGGCCGAUACUGACGCUGAGGAGCGAAAGCGUGGGGAGCGAACAGG